AAACAAAAACAAAAAACAAAAAACACCACCACAACAAAAAGAAAAUAAAGGUCAGGCUUUGUUCUACUUUUAGUCACCUACUCAGCACUCGUAGGCCCCAAUGAAGAGUCAUGGCUUUUAGCAAAAUCCACUUUUAAGUCCCUGCCUAUCUUAGGAGAAAACAGAAGUCAUGCUUUUGAUGAGUAACAGGUUAAGGGACCAGGAUUUUGUUCGUGCUUUGUCCCUGUGUCUGUGACUACAUCACAACCAUCUGAGCUGCUCAUGCAGGUGCCGGGUACAUGGGCCCUCAAAAUGCACGUGCACACACAGUUGCAGCCACGUGUCUGAGACGAGCCCAGGUGCUACCCUUGCACACAAACUCAUACUGACACCCAAAUGUCUGCUUCCUUGCAUUCAGUGGGGCAGCAGCAUGCUCUGGAAAUGUGCGCUUAUAUGCCAAGCACCCAGCCCACCUAGGCAUGGGCAUGCCUGGCACACAGCACUCAUCCAUCCACACCCCACCCCCACCCCACAGCACAAGCAGACACAGUCCAGUGAACACAGGGGAAUACAGAUGCAGCCACACAUGUGCAGACCCAUGCAGAUUCCUACAAACACACACACACACCCCUGCACACAUUCGUUCAGUUACCAGACAUUGGCUGAGCACUUAAUAGAUAGCAGACGCUGUGUAGGCUGGCAGACACAUGGACACAUCGAGAUACAGGCAUAUCUACACACACAGAUGCCCACUCAAGCACGCACAUUCAGUCACAAACACACCAGCACGUACACACCAGACAACAAACAGGCAGGCACGGCAGCCCUCCAAGCACAUGCCCAGCUUGCUUUCUCAGGAAGCAAAGACCGUGGAGGGGCAUUGUUUCUAGAGAGGUCUUGCAUCAGAGGGUUUUUCCUACAACCCCCUCCCCUGUCCUUUCUGCCUUCCCUGCUCUUGCCUCCACCUUUAUCCUUUGCUCCCCCCACCGCUUCAUCCUCUCCCCUCCUACCCCUCCUCUCCCUACCAGUAGCUGUCUCAGGGGAUGAGUGGCUGCAGUGCUGUGUUGUACUUAUAAGAAAUGCAACCUGAAAAUCUUUCUUGGCUUGCCUUGCUCCAAGCUUUUAUCUUCUAAUCAGGCCAACAUGACUGCCUUGGACUGAGGAUACUAAUGACCUCCUAGGGUGGUGGUAGGCUAAGGAAAGAAGCAUGAGCAGGGGCUUCUGUCCAGAUGUCUACUUUCUCCACACCAGCCACAUCAGCAAACAACCUAAUGGGGCUAGAUAUUGAGGACAGUGGUGGUGGUGAUGAUGGUCGCGGUGGUGUCAUGUUGGUGCUGACGGUUAUGGCGGUGGUGGUGCUGGUGAUGGUGCUGCUGGUGAGGAUGUUGAUGAUGCUGACGGUAGUCACAAGGAGAGCCCACAAAAGGAGCGCCUACCUCAUUCCAGGCUCUGUUCUCAACUCAAGUAAAUUUUUACACUUGCUUUGACAAUUGUACAGUGGAGGCUCAAGAUCAAACCCUGGUAACCUCAGAGAACACACCGUGCUGACUACCAGAUGCCUGUGUGUCUGCGGAGAUCCCGCCACCUGGCUGGUUCUUUUUUUUUUUUUUCCUUUUAGUACCGGGAAUUGAACUUAGGACCUUGCGUUUGCCAGAGACAGAAGCAUUAACAUCUUCCAAGAAUGAUCUGUGGUCAAGGCAAUAGGCAUUUUGUCAGCACCCCAGCACGUGUGAAGUACAGUGUGGAAGAGACCAGCUACCACGGCGAGCAUUUACAAUGAGGACUGUCCUCCGACUUCCUGCCCAAAGAGGCACAAAGCUGGAUUCUUGGGAAUGAGAAGUUGGUCACCGCCCUCAGUUAUGAUUUGAAUGUCCAUCUUCCCCAAUACCUUCCCAAUGGCCUGUUACAGCUCCUGACAUUCCACCCUCUGAGGUUCAUUCCUCAGUGUCCUGAUAAAAAUCAUAGGUGUCCCGUACUGCCAGUGCCUCACUGCCUCCUCUUAUUGAUCCUCUCAUUGAUCUGUCAUGUAGGAUUCCUCAUGGUACAGAUGAGGACACUGAGCUUCUGAAAGGAGCGGCCACUUGCCCGAAGCCCACAGCUGGGAAAGGCUGAGGCAGGAUGGGAUCCAGCUUCCUGGCAGAUCCGCAUUUCCUACCAGAACAGAGGACCCAAGGAUUUUCGUCUUUCUGCCCUGUCCUCUUCAUCAUCCCUGGAAGGCUGGGGUAGCUUCAAGCCUCAGCCCUUUUACCUUCAUUCACUCUUCUGCUCAUGACACAUGGAGGCACAGUGCAGGGAGAUUUGAUCAGGUCAGAAAGAUGACGGAAGUCUUGGCUGCCCUUGGAAGGGACGCCUCACUCACCGGAUCCUCAGUGUUGUAGGGAAAAGUAAAGUAAGGUACGUAGGGGGACAAGGAGUGAUGGGAUGGGGAAGGUCCCUUAAAUGGGGUGGUUGGGGGAGGUCAAACUCUCCAAGGUGGCCUGCGUGAAGAAGCGAGGAUAUAGGGAAAAAUGGAAGCCAGUGACUUGGUGACUGAAGAAUUCAAAGAAUCUAUUAUAUAAUUGAUGGGAGGAGAUCACAUUUAUUUGCUGUCUUUUUUAUAUUUAAGGCCCGUUUUGCAAGAACACACAU